CCUACGGGAGGCAGCAGUGGGGAAUAUUGGGCAAUGGGCGCAAGCCUGACCCAGCAACGCCGCGUGAAGGAAGAAGGCUUUCUGGUUGUAAACUUCUUUUCUCAGGGACGAAGCAAGUGCCGGUACCUGAGGAAUAAGCCACGGCUAACUACGUGCCAGCAGCCGCGGUAAGACGGAGGCUGCAAGCGUUAUCCGGAUUUACUGGGUGUAAAGGGGGUGUAGGCGGGACUGCAAGUCAGAUGUGAAAACCAUGGGCUCAACCUAUGUACUGUAUUUGAAACUGUAGUUCUUGAGUACUGGAGAGGCAGGCGGAAUUCCUGGUGUAGCGGUGAAAUGCGUAGAUAUUAGGAGGAACACCAGUUGCGAAGGCGGCCUGCUGGACAGUAACUGACGCUGAGGCGCGAAAGCGUGGGGAGCAAACAGGAUUAGAUACCCUUGUAGUC
rnacentral:rRNA from 1 species